rnacentral:rRNA from 1 species
CAGCCGCCGCGGUAAUACCGGCGGCCCGAGUGGCGGUCACUAUUAUUGGGCUUAAAGCGUCCGUAGCCGGGUUGGGAAGUCCUCCGGGAAAUCUGGCCGCUUAACGGUCAGAAUGCCGGAGGAUACUCCCAGCCUAGGGAGCGGGAGAGGCCGAGGGUAUUCCCGGAGUAGGGGGGAAAUCCUAUAAUCCCGGGAGGACCACCUGUGGCGAAGGCGCUCGGCUGGAACGCGUCCGACGGUGAGGGACGAAGGCCAGGGGAGCAAACCGGAUUAGAUACCCGGGUAGUCCUGGCGGUAAACGAUGCGGACUUUGUGUCGGACAAGCUAUGAGCUUGUCCGGUGCCGGAGGGAAACCGUUAAGUCCGCCGCCUGGGGAGUACGGCCGCAAGGCUGAAAUUUAAAGGAAUUGGCGGG